rnacentral:rRNA from 1 species
GAUGAACGCUGGCGGCGUGCCUAAUACAUGCAAGUCGAGCGGUAAGGCCCUUCGGGGUACACGAGCGGCGGACGGGUGAGUAACGCGUAAGAAUCUACCCCAAACUGAGGGAUAAGCACCAGAAAUGGUGUCUAAUACCGCAUGUGCUCUACGGAGUAAAGCUACGGCGGUUUGGGAAGAGCCUGCGUAUGAUUAGCUAGUUGGUAAGGUAAUGGCGUACCAAGGCGACGAUCAUUAGCUGGUCUGAGAGGAUGAUCAGCCACACUGGGACUGAGACACGGCCCAGACUCCUACGGGAGGCAGCAGUAGGGAAUUUUCCACAAUGGGGGCAACCCUGAUGGAGCAACGCCGCGUGCAGGAUGAAGGCCUUCGGGUUGUAAACUGCUUUUGUCUGUGACGAAUAUGACGGUAGCAGACGAAUAAGGAUCGGCUAACUACGUGCCAGCAGCCGCCGUAA